rnacentral:rRNA from 1 species
UCGAGAAUCUUUCGCAAUGGGCGCAAGCCUGACGAAGCGACGCCGUGUGAGCGAAGAAGGCCUUCGGGUUGUAAAGCUCUUUCGCUAGGGAACAAGAAAGGAGCGCUAAUAACGCUUCAAUUUGAUGGUACUUGGUAAAGAAGCACCGGCUAACUCCGUGCCAGCAGCUGCGGUAAUACGGAGGGUGCAAGCAUUGAUCGGAAUUACUGGGCGUAAAGGGUGCGUAGGCGGACUGGCAAGUCAGAUGUGAAAUUCCGUGGCUCAACUGCGGAACUGCAUUUGAAACUGCCAGACUAGAGCAUAAUUAGGGAAAACGGAAUUCCACGUGUAGCGGUGAAAUGCGUAGAUAUGUGGAAGAACACCGGUGGUGAAGACGGUUUUCUGGGUUAUUGCUGACGCUGAGGCACGAAAGCUAGGGGAGCAAACAGG